GGGAAAACAAUACGGAAGGCCAGAGGGAGGAGGGGUAAAUAAGAAUGCUUAAAAAUGACAUAGGAAAUGAUGUAAUAAUUAUUAGUAAUAGUUUAAUAGCAUUAAGUGUUGUUUUAUAUUUACCUAAAAUUACACCUAAGUGUAUAUGUAUACAAACGUAUAUAGUUUAGAUGAAGUUACACCAUCUGGGGUUAUUGUACCCCGCCAAGAACCAUAGACUAUUUAGCAAAGCCCCUAGUACCAAGCACGAGAAACCUCCUUUAAGUUGCUUGUCAGAAGAGUGCGAGAGGAUCCCAAAACAAGGUAGGGUAGUUCUACUUAGUUGCCUCCUAGAAGUUGAAGGUAAGUCCAUAUUGCUGAAGACAUCACAUCCUUAGAGGAUUUGAGCAUCCUUUCAUAGUACAAGAAGUUAAUCUAUAAGCUAAGGGAGGAAGCAACCAAUAGUCCUACCCAGCUGUGAUGUCACAACAGUGACCAGCACAGCCAGAUAUUCCUAAAAGAACAUUAGUGGCAUUCGUGUCCUGGCAGUAAUCAACAGCUGUCUAACUGGACUCAAGGCCUGCUUAACAGGAGGGAAAUCACGCCUGCUACUGUAAACCUAGUCAACUGCAUAUAGCUAAUGAGAUCCUGGACCUAGAGAACCUACAACUCCCAUUUACCUAAACUAAUGUAGUUCCUAACUGUAUUCUAAAUACUUAUCCUUAUAUCCACAGGUAAACACAGAUCUCACCUCUCAUCAAAGAAGUUUCUUUUUGCAGCAGCAGUAGCAAAUCAUCACAGACAGACAUGACUUGUCAAAGGCCCAAAUGAUAAACAAACACUACAACACAACACCUACAUCUAAGGCUCAGAGAACAUCCCAGAAGAGGUAGUGGAAAGAUUUUUUAGAGCCAGAGGAGUAGAAAGUCUGCUUAAGUGUGUCCUCUAGCUAUGACAGGGAAGCGACGACACAACAUGGCUGCCUAAAGAAGACGUGAACAAUUAAUUACAACAGUUGGCAUCCCAGUGAAGAUGGGGAUAUCUAGGCCCCACCCAUAGAUGAAGACCUACAAGCUGAAAGGGGGAGAAUGAGUCUUCCCCAAGGAUGAGGCCCCUGGUUAUUCAAUACCAAGAGGGUUUUCUCACUGGGGCCUAAGGCAGGUUAGGCUGGUGGUCAGCAAGCCCAGGGAUCUGCUUGUCUCCACGUCCGCAGUACUGGAUCACAAGCCUGCAUUCCCACUCAGGCCCUCCUGACCCUCUGUUUCCCCAGCCCCACCAUUCUGCUUUUGUAGAUCACCUUUUUAAUAAAUAUUAAUCUUAAUCUGA